rnacentral:lncRNA from 1 species
UUUCUAGGGCCGUUCCCACGGCAUAUGGAGGUUCCCAGGCUAGGGGUCGAAUCAGAGCUGCAGCUGCUGGCCUACGCCAGAGCCACAGCAAGGGGGGAUCCAAGCCGCGUCUGUAGCCUACACCACAGCUCACGGCAACGCCGGGUCCGUAACCCACUGAGCAAGGGCAGGGAUCGAACCUGCAACCUCAUGGUUCCUAGUUGGAUUCAUUAACCACUGAGCCAUGACAGGAACUCCCUGGAUACACAAUUAUUUUCCCAUUAACUUUUAUGUUUUAAAAGUCCUUUUUUGUCUUUUUAGGGCUGCACCACAUGGAAUUUUCCAGGCUAGGGGUCAGAUCGGAGCUGCAGCUGCCGGCCUACAGCACAGCCACAGCCAUGUGGGAUCUGAGCCUUGUCUGGGACCCACACCACAGCUCAUGGCAAUGCCGGAUCCUUAACCCACUGAGCGAGGCCAGGGAUCAAACCCCCGUCCUCAUGCACACCAUUGGGGUUUGUUACCAUUGAGCCACAAUGGGAGCCCCUAAAACAUGUCUUGAUUAAAUGUGAAACUGGUUUUUCGUGCUUCUAGUUCCAGACAAGACAGAACAGACACAUUUCACCCUAUUCCUUCCCACUUAUUAGACCUAAAACCCUGGGACAACAACACAGGAAGCAAGCGCUAGGAACCCUGAAGGGUGGGGACAGAAGGCCAGCUGUCUGGGGACCUCAAGAAAAUGGUCGAGCACAGAGGGCCCUGAGCUGGUUUUGUUUGGCCUCCUGUACAUUCCAAUCCGGGUGACAGAGAAGCUGUUCACACAGAAACACCAAAGGACACUGACCAAAAGAUAAGGGUAAGCCUGCUGUCCACAAUCAAAGGACCAGGGAAGGUGGCCUCACAGGACAGACUUCUGAUAACCUCAGCCCCACGCUAGCUCCCCACCAAGGCAAACGGCACCCGUACACCUGGCCUUGUACAGUGGCCAGGGCCAGGACCAGGCGAGUGGACCCGACCACUGCACUGGACUCGCUGUGAUGAGGCGCCUGCAGAGGCUGUGUGUGUGACAAGGCGUGGCCUCCGCAUCAGCACAAGGUAGCACUCAGGCCACAGCAGUGCUGAGCAACAAGAUUUAAAUAGGAAGCAGAGUCCCAAUCACAAUGACCAAUCAAAAAUGAUCAAGAACCAGGAAAAUCUCCAACUGAAGGAGAGAAGACAAUCAAGAGACACCAACACUGAAAUGAAAGAAACCAGAAUUAUCAAAUAAGAAUUUUUAAGCAGCUGGUAUAAAAAUACUUCAAAGAAUAAUUAUAAACACUCUGGAAACAGAUGGGAAAAGAGGAAUUCUUGGCAAAGAAACAGAAGAUAUAAAGAAACAAAUAGAAAUUUCAGAAAUGAAAAAAUACAAUAACUGAAACAAACACAAAACCAUGGGAGUUCAAUAACAGAAUGUAGAUGAGAGAGGAAAAAAUUCAAGGAGAGUAACUGCAAAGAUAUAUUGACCAACAGAGAGAAAAAAAAAAGACCAAAUAAAUAAAUAAACAGAGUCUGAGGGGCCUAUGGAAGAAGAACAAGAAAUAAAUAUUGGCUGUUUCACAGAACUUGAACAAAACAAUUUAAAGUUUGUUUGAAGGCACAAAAGACCCAGAAUAGCCAAAGACAUCCUGAAAAAGAAAAAUGGAGCUGGAGGAAUCAGGCUCCCUGACUUCAGACUAUAUGACAAAGCUACAGUCAUCAAAACCAUAUGGUACUGGCACAAAGACAGAAAUACAGUUCAGUGGAACAGGAUAGAAAGCCCAGAAUUAAACCCAUGCACCUACAGCCAACUCAUCUAUGACAAAGGAGGCAAGAAUAUACAAUGGAGAAAAGACAGCCUGUUCAAUAAAUGCUGCUGGGAAAACUGGACGGCCACAUGUACAAGAAUGAACACUCCCUAACACCAUACACAAAAAUAAACUCAAAAUGGAUUAAAGACUUAGAUAUAAGACCAGACACUAUAAAACUCUUAGAGGAAAACAUAGGCCAAACACUCUCUGACAUAAAUGACAGCAACAUCUUCUCAGAUCCACCUCUCAGAGUAAUGACAGUACAAACAAAAAUAAACAAAUGGACUUCAUUAAACUUAAAUGUUUCUGCACAGCAAAGGAAACCCUAAACAAAAUGAAAAGACAACCCACAGAAUGGGAGAAAAUAUUUGCAAGUGAACUGACAAGGAAUUAAUCUCCAGAAUUUAUAAACACCUCCUACUGCUCAAUACCAAAAAACAAACAAUCCCAUCAAAAAAUGGGCAGAAGAUCUAAACAGACAAUUCUCCAAAAAGGACAUAUGGAUGGCCAAAAAAACACAUGAAAAUGUGUUCAACAUCACUCAUUAUCAGAGAAAUGCAAAUCAAAACCACUAUGGGGUACCACCUUACACCAGACAGAAUAGCCAUCAUCAAAGUCUACAAACAAUAUGUGCUGGAGAGGGGGUGGAGAAAAAGGAACCCUAUUACACUGUUGGUGGGAAUGUAAAUUGGUCCAACCACUGUGGAAAACAGUAUGGAGAUUCCUCAGAAAACUAAAAAUAGAACUACAUUUGAUCCAGCAAUCCCACUCCUGGGCAUCUAUCCAGAGAAAGCCAUGACUUGAAAAGACACAUGUACUCUGAUGUUCACUGCAGCACUAUUUGCAAUAGCCAAGACGCGGAAACCACCUAAAUGUCCAUCGACAGAGGAGUGGAUAAAGAAGAUGUGGUACAUAUACACAAUGGAAUAUUACCCAGCCAUGAAAAGGAGAGAAAUAACAGCAUUUACAGCAACAUGGAUGGACCUACAUCCUAAGUGAAGUUGGUCAGACAAUGAGACACCAACAUCAAAUGCCAUCACUGACAUGUGGACUCUAAAAAAAGGACACAAUGAACUUCUUUGCAGAACAGAUCCUGACUCACAGACUUUGGAAAACUUACAGUUUCCAAAUGAGACAAGUUGGGGGGUGGGGGGAAGGGAUGAGGGUUUGGGAUGGAAAUGCUGUAAAAUUUGGUUGUGAUAAUUGUUGUACACCUACAAAUGGAAUAAAAUUCACUAAGUAAUUAAAAAAAAAGAAAGAAUGGCCGAAAACUUCCCAAAUUGGAAAAAGUCACAUAAACCUACACAUUUAAGAAAUUGAGAAAACCACAAACAGAAUAAAGGCAAAAACCCGACACAUCAGAGUCAAACUUCUGAACACUACUGACAAGGAAAAAAACUUGAGAGCAACGAGAGGGAGAGACACUUUGCUUUUCCCUCUGGAAAACAGCUCCUAUGGCAGGGGUUUCAGAAACUAUGGGGUCCUGAACAAAGAACUGCCACUUUUUUCAAGUACUGAAAGAAAAGAACUUUCAACCCCGAAUCCACAUCCAUCAGAAACAACCCUCAGGGGAGUUCCUGUUGUGGUGCAGCAGAAAUGAAUCUGACUAGUAUCCAUGAAGAUGCAGGUUCGAUCCCUGGCCUCACUCAGUGGGCCAAGGAUCCGGUGUUGUCAUGAGCUGUGGUGUAGAUCACAGAUGAGGCUUGGACCCCACGUUGCUGUGUCUGUGGCAUAGGCUGGAAACUUCCCUAGCCUGGAAACUUCCAUAUAGUGCAGGUGUGGUCCUCCAAAAAGCAAAAAAUUUCUAGAAAAGAACAUAGACAAAAUGUUCUCUGACAUAAAUUGUACAAAUGUUUUCUUAGGUCAGUUUCCCAAGGCAACAGAAAUAAAAGCAAAAAUAAACCAAUGGGGCCUAAUCAAACUGACACGCUUUUGCACAGCAAAGGAAACCAUAAAAAAAAAAAAAAAAAAAAAAAAAAAAAAA